rnacentral:rRNA from 1 species
UACGUAGGGCGCAAGCGUUAUCCGGAAUUAUUGGGCGUAAAGAGCUCGUAGGCGGUUUGUCGCGUCUGCCGUGAAAGUCCGGGGCUCAACUCCGGAUCUGCGGUGGGUACGUGCAGACUAGAGUGAUGUAGGGGAGACUGGAAUUCCUGGUGUAGCGGUGAAAUGCGCAGAUAUCAGGAGGAACACCGAUGGCGAAGGCAGGUCUCUGGGCAGUAACUGACGCUGAGGAGCGAAAGCAUGGGGAGCGAACAGG